rnacentral:rRNA from 1 species
AGCGGCGGAUGGGUGAGUAACACGUGGGGAACCUGCCCCUAAGUCUGGGAUACCAUUUGGAAACAGGUGCUAAUACCGGAUAAUAAAGCAGAUCGCAUGAUCAGCUUUUGAAAGGCGGCGUAAGCUGUCGCUAAGGGAUGGCCCCGCGGUGCAUUAGCUAGUUGGUAAGGUAACGGCUUACCAAGGCGACGAUGCAUAGCCGAGUUGAGAGACUGAUCGGCCACAUUGGGACUGAGACACGGCCCAAACUCCUACGGGAGGCAGCAGUAGGGAAACUUCCACAAUGGACGCAAGUCUGAUGGAGCAACGCCGCGUGAGCGAAGAAGGUUUUCGGAUCGUAAAGCUCUGUUGUUGGUGAAGAAGGAUAGAGGUAGUAACUGGCCUUUAUUUGACGGUAAUCAACCAGAAAGUCACGGCUAACUACGUGCCAGCAGCCGCGGUAAUACGUAGGUGGCAAGCGUUGUCCGGAUUUAUUGGGCGAAAAGCGAGCGCAGGCGGAAAAAUAAGUCUAAUGUGAAAGCCCUCGGCUUAACCGAGGAACUGCAUCGGAAACUGUUUUUCUUGAGUGCAGAAGAGGAGAGUGGAACUCCAUGUGUAGCGGUGGAAUGCGUAGAUAUAUGGGAAGAACACCAGUGGCGAAAGGCGGCUCUCUGGUCUGCAACUGACGCUGAGGCUCGAAAGCAUGGGUA